ensembl:lncRNA
CAUCAAGCUCUUCAUGUGGCACCUUUGCUGUCUCAUAUAGUUCAGCUCAGGCUUCUCUUUCAAAAAUGGAAAAACGUACUGGCCCAUAAAAUAGGAAUGGUCGUAGGAUCAUUAAGGUUGAAAAGAGCAAUAAGAUAGUCUAGUCCAACCUACUCCUGAGACAGCUCUAGAACAUGUCACUCAGUGCAACACCUCUUCUUGAAUACCUCCAGUGACUCCACCACCUCUCUGGGCGGCCUGUGCCAAUACAUUACCACUCCUUCUGAGAAGAAAGUUUUCCUAAUAUCCCAUCUGAACCUCCUCUGGUGCAACUUAAGGCCAUUACAUUAAGAAUCAGCAAAGCAGUACAUGACCACUGUGAUGGAAUCAGCGAUUGUGAUUGAAACUUUUCUUCACCAUGCAAAUGCCACUGGGAGAUGGAGGGGAAUGCCACGAUGGCUUCUUCAUCACUGGAGGAAUGGCUUUGGAUCAUGGUUCAUCAGUGGAGUGAAAAUCAAACCAGCGAGCUUCAUCAUUUCAGCAAAUGCAGCCUGUAUCGUGCAUGAAAUAUAAAAUUAAGAACAUGACUUUUGGGAUUGGUGGCAACCCCUUGGAGUGGAUGCUGCAGUAGAGACCCCUGCCAAGGAUGCAGGGGUCCAGGAGUGGGAAUGAGCACCGCACCGAGCUGCCUGCACACCUCUAUGCAAAGGGGAAUCGGGCUGUUUCGGAGAGAGAAGCUAUUUUUUCCUCUUGCUUUCGGUGCUCCCAGCUGCCCCAGGGACACAGCUAGCAACUCCACUGCUGCAGCUCUUGAGUAAUGGAUACCUCCUGAAAUUGCACCUUGGAAGCAGCUGACUGGUUCCUGCAAUGAGCUCCUGAAUAAUUGAAGCAAUAUUUGUGGGUUUUGCACUGAAGUACUAACAGCUGCAGUAUGUUUUGAUAUUUAUGAAGCCCAAUAAAUUAUGGAUUAGGCAGUGCAGCGAGCCCAGCUUGAUACUUAGUGCUGCCAGAGUGCCAGUGCUGAUGGUGCACGGUUCUCCCCAGUUCACUUCCAUUGUGUAGCUGGGUAGGACUGGUGUCUGUCACUGGGCUUACUCACAAGUUGAAGUUCCAAUCCCCAAGAGCUGGCAGUGUGUUUUGAAUUGCACCUCACUACAUAGAUUUUAUGAAGACAAGCUGAGGCUGUAUUUCAGGUCACGGGACAUUGCAGAGGUGGAGAUGUCCAUUUUCUUGAUAAUGGAGGAUGCAGAAUUAGUGGCAAGGGUUAAGCUGGAAAUAACAUAAAACCCAGUCUUUCUUUCAAAGGGUUCCAUGGGUAAAUAUCAGCCACCUUCUCCAGGAUGCCUCAUUCAGAGUACAAGCUUUUCUCUGUCACUUAUGAGAUUAAACUCUGUGCUCGGCUUUUUACUAUCCAGGCAAAUUUUGUUCCAUGCAUGAGAGUGCUUUUGUUUUGCAGAUGAUCCAGACACAUUCCAGAUAUCCCCCCAUCGGCACGGGCUGCACGCUGGGAAGGGAUGGGAAACAAGGAAAUAACUGCUUGAAGCAGCAGAUGGCAUCCUACUCCUCAGAAGCUUUCCUGUCUCUGUGGAAGUACAAUAAAUACAGACUACACGUGUGCGUGCUCUAGUCACAGCUGCACAAAGGGAUUUGGUAGAGAACGGCACUGCAUUAAGAAGAUUCAAUAUGAAGAACUCCCCAUCUCCAUUGGAGAGGUGAGAGGGGGACUGGAUGAACCAGUGCCCCAUGGGAUCUGACCCUACCCUACCCACCUCCCGCAUCUUCCAAUCUUGCAAGGGGAUCCCAGGGAAGGCAGCAGCCAUAUCUCCUCUGUACAGUGGCUGCUUUCUAAAGAGGAGGGGCAGAAAUUCUCCCUCCAGCAGAAGGCAGCAGGAGAGCUCCCAGCAAAGGACUAAGCAACAAGCAAAGAGUGCUGGCCAAGCAUGAAUUUUCUAACAAAAUAAAGAAUUGAAUCUGGUUAUGACUAAUUGGGAGAGCUAAUCAAACUUCUUUUUAUAACUGUUUCCCCAGUAUCCCAGGGGAUGCCCCAUAUGUGCCCUUGGACCAUGCGUGUAACACAGAAAGAUCCAGUGACUUCCACUGACAUGCUGAGUACACUUCAGAGUGACAACAUAAGCCAGAGAGCAAAAGCUGUAUGAGAAUGACUCUCCUGGUACCAGCACAGCCCCCUGUGGGUUCCAGCACCAGUAUCUUUCCCUUGGAUUCCCACAUUAGAUGCCCAUUUCUCCCCAUUGCUAACAGCAGCCUCCAUGGG